rnacentral:rRNA from 1 species
GAACGAACGCUGGCGGCAGGCCUAACACAUGCAAGUCGAACGCUCCGCAAGGGGAGUGGCGCACGGGUGAGUAACACGUGGGAACCUACCUUCUGGUACGGAACAACCAAGGGAAACUUUGGCUAAGACCAUAUACGACCUCCGGGUGAAAGAUUGAUCGCCGGAAGAGGGGCCCGCGUCCGAUUAGGUAGUUGGUGAGGUAACGGCUCACCAAGCCUUCGAUCGGUAGCUGGUCUGAGAGGAUGACCAGCCACACUGGGACUGAGACACGGCCCAGACUCCUACGGGAGGCAGCAGUGGGGAAUAUUGGACAAUGGGCGCAAGCCUGAUCCAGCCAUGCCGCGUGAGUGAUGAAGGCCUUC